GGUCAAUGAUGUGAUGUAAAAGGUCUGAUGCCAUCGUCUCCUUCCAGUCCCUUCUGUCCCUCCCAGCAGCCCCUUUUUUUAAUUUCCCAGCAUGCUUUAGUUGUGUAUUGCUGGUUUGAGGUGGCAGCUGAUAUUAUGGAUGUGUCUGCUGAAUUAAGAGUCAAUUUUAGAGAAUCAAAUGAGACCAAAACAGCAACAUCCAACAUCAACACAACACACAGGAGGUCGGGACUCAAGGAGAACAUCAAACCGGCCCAUGAUCUCAAGUUUUCAAGCUGAGACC